CCUGGUGGCUCAGACAGUAAAGCAUCUGCCUACAAUGCAGGAGAUCCAGGUUCAGUCCCUGGGUCAGGA
rnacentral:tRNA from 1 species